rnacentral:rRNA from 1 species
UACGGAGGGUGCAAGCGUUGUCCGGAUUUAUUGGGUUUAAAGGGUGCGUAGGUGGCCCUUGUAAGUCCGUGGGUGAAAGCCUCUCGCUUAACGAGAGAACUGCCAUGGAUACUGCAAGGCUUGAGUCCAGACGAGGUUGGCGGAAUGGAUGGUGUAGCGGUGAAAUGCGUAGAUAUCGGAAGGAACACCAGUGGCGAAAGCGGCUCCCUGGUCCAGCACCGACGUUCAGGCACGAAAGCGUGGGGAGCAAACAGG